CUAAUGGUGUCAUGGGGGGACCCUGAUCCAGCCAUGCCGCGUGUGUGAAGAAGGCCUUUUGGUUGUAAAGCACUUUAAGCGAGGAGGAGGCUACCGAGAUUAAUACUCUUGGAUAGUGGACGUUACUCGCAGAAUAAGCACCGGCUAACUCUGUGCCAGCAGCCGCGGUAAUACAGAGGGUGCAAGCGUUAAUCGGAUUUACUGGGCGUAAAGCGCGCGUAGGUGGCCAAUUAAGUCAAAUGUGAAAUCCCCGAGCUUAACUUGGGAAUUGCAUUCGAUACUGGUUGGCUAGAGUAUGGGAGAGGAUGGUAGAAUUCCAGGUGUAGCGGUGAAAUGCGUAGAGAUCUGGAGGAAUACCGAUGGCGAAGGCAGCCAUCUGGCCUAAUACUGACACUGAGGUGCGAAAGCAUGGGGAGCAAACAGGAUUAGAUACCCUGGUAGUCCAUGCCGUAAACGAUGUCUACUAGCCGUUGGGGCCUUUGAGGCUUUAGUGGCGCAGCUAACGCGAUAAGUAGACUGCCUGGGGAGUACGGUCGCAGGACUAAAACUCGGAUGUGUUGACCGGUCCCGCACAGACGGUGAAUCUUGUGGGCUAGACACC
rnacentral:rRNA from 1 species